AAGGCAGCUACACGGUGACGUGAUGCUAAUCCCGAAAGACCUCUCUCAGUUCGGAUUGGAGUCUGCAACCCGACUCCAUGAAGCUGGAUUCGCUAGUAAUCGCGCAUCAGCCACGGCGCGGUGAAUACGUUCCCGGGCCUUGUACACACCGCCCGUCAAGCCAUGAAAGCCGGGGGGUACCUGAAGUGCGUAACCGCAAGGAGCGCCCUAGGGUAAAACUGGUGAUUGGGGCUAAGUCGUAACAAGGUAAC
rnacentral:rRNA from 1 species